CUACUCCACAACUCGUACAGACUUCACUCUAACAGUGUUUCAACAUUAUAUUGUCUAUAAUUACAAUUCAAAAAAGUAGAUACUCAGCAAUGGCUUCCUCACAAUUGCUUAUGUUGGUUCUGGUCCUCCUGGCUCUGACGUUCACGUCAGCUGGUCUUCGCCGUAGAGUUUGUCGCAUGGACGGCGCUCCCGGAAACUGCGCGGAGGUUGUGGGUCGGCGGGGAGCGCUCAAGGGGGUCGGACUGUGUCAGGAACGUGGCGGCAGAUGUAUCUACUUCGAAAGGCGUGGCGCCAAAAAGUGUGCGUGCAUGGAGGUGAAACCGGACACCGUUAGACUGUUAUAGUGCUGUUCCGGGGCCGCUUCGUCCGGAUUCCUAGUUGCAUUCGAUAAACAGUUCAAAACAACUGUUAAAAAAUAUUGUGUUCAGGAGUAUAAUAUGUUAGGAAUGUUCUCAACAAUGGCAUUUUUAUUAUAUAAUUGAAGUAUUUAUGUAAGUACAAAUGGCAACUAUUAGUUAAAAUACGUGUACCACUAACACGGAAGUAUAAAUAUAGUUUUAACAUAUAUUUAAUAUUUUCCUUUAUUUAUUUGUCGAUAGUCGUAGUAUUAUUGUUCUUUGUUUAUUUUACAUUUGUAGUUGAGAUUAUUUUAUCACUUUUACAUGCAACAACUGAAUGUAUAUGAAAAUGCCUGUCCAAACAUAUACAUAUAUAGUAUACAUUGGUAUAAGAUAUGCUCAGUAUUUAUUCAAUCAUGUUUGUUUCUCUAUUACAUAAUAAAUUGUAAAAUACAA